ACAGUGUACAGAUGCAGUGAAUACAUUUGCUAGGCACCAGCUGACUACCACUCGGCGGUCAACGAACAGUGUCGCCGGGGAUAAUCCUUGAGGCUGAAGGCCCACGGCCCAACAAGACAGGGACAGUCCUGGUCGUGCGAUGGCGGGAGCCUUGGAUGCGAGAGCAACGCCAGAAGGCCAGCCAGGCCACUCUAACCAGUCAGACCAUCAUUGAGGAUCCCAUAGCAGAGCCAGUCAAGGACCACGAUCCCCGAACCACUGCCUGAGUGGCCGCAUUGGGAGGGAGCAAAGAUGGAUCUGAGAGCCAGAAUAAGUCAUGCUAAACCACUAGUGUACUUUGGGGCUAGCUGGAACCCCCUAAGGGACAUGUUCAUUCUUGAGAACAGUGCUAUGUUUUUGCUUCUAACAUCUUGUUUUGUCUGGGAACACAUCAAUAUCUCUGGAACCUAACUCCGAAGGAAUCAUCUGUCUAUUGGUUGUGCCAUGAAAAUCUAUUCUCUGUUCGAACGAUUGAACCUCAUCUUUGUACAUUUUCUUCAGUGUCAUUUUAGGUACC
rnacentral:sRNA from 1 species